GCCCCCGUAGCUCAGGGGAUAGAGCAUUGGUUUCCUAAACCAUGAGCGCAAGUUCGAGUCUUGCCGGGGGCA
rnacentral:tRNA from 1 species